rnacentral:rRNA from 1 species
UACGUAGGGGGCAAGCGUUGUCCGGAUUUAUUGGGCGUAAAGAGCGUGUAGGCGGCCAGACAGGUCCGUUGUGAAAACUCGAGGCUCAACCUCGAGAUGUCGAUGGAAACCGUCUGGCUAGAGUCCGGAAGAGGAGUGUGGAAUUCCUGGUGUAGCGGUGAAAUGCGCAGAGUAUCAAGGAAGAACACCUAUGGCGAAGGCAGCACUCUGGGAACGGUACUGACGCUGAGACGCGAAAGCGUGGGGAGCGAACAGG